UACGUAGGGUGCGAGCGUUAAUCGGAAUUACUGGGCGUAAAGCGUGCGCAGGCGGUUAUUUAAGUCAGAUGUGAAAGCCCCGGGCUUAACCUGGGAAUUGCGUUUGAAACUAGAUGACUAGAGUCUGUCAGAGGGGGGUGGAAUUCCACGUGUAGCAGUGAAAUGCGUAGAGAUGUGGAGGAACACCGAUGGCGAAGGCAGCCCCCUGGGAUAAGACUGACGCUCAUGCACGAAAGCGUGGGGAGCAAACAGG
rnacentral:rRNA from 1 species